rnacentral:lncRNA from 1 species
GCAUCACUCCGGGGUUAGGUACACCACGUAACCAAGCACCCCUAAUCCCGCAGCCCCCUCGCUAGCGACCUCUGAAGGGCUUGGCGGAUUUGGGGCGCGGUGUGGCGAAGGGACCCACCCCGUCUUCCCGACUAUUUGCAUAACGGAGACUGCUCGUUUCCCCCGCCCCUUCGCCGCACUCUUCCCGCGUACCCGCCACCCCUCAUCUCCCGGCCCCUCUACUCCUCCCCAACAGACCCUCCUUCAGGGACUCCCAGCUCCCGGGCUGUCAGGCCGCCGCCGGGGGCGGCGUCCGGAGGCAUCCCAGGGAGGGGAGUCCUAGGCAAGGCCGGGCUGGGGAAGACGCCUGAGGCACUACCCGGUGCUAACAAAGGGAACCGGCAGCCUACCGGCUGGGGCGCAGAGCGGGCGGAGCAACCGCAGCUUCCGCGGCUGAGAGCGCAGCGAGCAGUGUAGAGUGAAUUGUGCUGAGAUCUGCAGAGAGCAGCCCAGGGAGAAGCAGUGAAGUUGUAGACUGCAGCUGAAAUGAACUGGCCCACGUGAGCCUGCCCAAGCCCUGGGGCAAGGCCUGUGUCCUAUCGCUGAGGUAAGAGCCCUCAAAUCCUAGCCUGGGGACCAAGAAGGUAAAAAGCCUCCUGGGGUGCUGGAUGGGGUGUUGGACACUUCAUCCUCUCAAGAGCAGGAGAUAAAGGCCACUUGUUUCUGGUUCAAACCAUCAGCUUCUAUUUCAGCCCAACCAGGGGCAAGGUCAUUUGGUGGCCUAAGAGGUUUUGAUUUUUUAGGGCAGGUCUUCUGGACUCUUAACAGAAAGUUGUGUUUUCUCAAUUGCGGGUGAAAUUUGAACUCCCAAGGGAAUGAAUUUAUCCUUCAGAUAAGACUGCACCAAGCUCAGGGAAUGCUUAACAUUGGUGCACCAGCUCUGUUCUGCUGGGGAAGUUGAGUUUUUAGGAAACACUACCUCACCCCCACCCCCCAAGGAAUAUAGUGACAGAAAUUACCUGGAGAGGUUAUUGCAAAAUAGUCCACUAAGCUUCCUAAAAAAUUACUUAAAUUACUUAGAUAUGUUCUGAUUAUAAAAGUAAAAUGGAGAAAUAAUGACGAGGAAGAAAAGAAGACACGGAAGAAAAGAAAACACGCCUGAAACCCUAACAGAGCUUCAGGUAGUUUCCAUUAAAAUUACUCUUUAGGCCUCCAGGGCAUGUUGGCUCUUCCUGCGUGGAGGCAGAGGGGGGAGGCGGAGGGAAUACUCAAAAGCUAGGAGAACUCACCUCCCCUCUGGAGGCUAUCCUGAGCUGAUUUUAAAUAUUCCGGAAUUUUGCAAAUUGGUUGUUAAAAAUUGGCGACUUGAAAUUGGCUACAGUGGGAAAACUGACACCACUGAAAUUAGCCAAGGCUGCAAACGAGGGACGUUUUGCUUUGGAGAUUCUGAUGGACCUCCCCCGCCCCCACUCCUGCC